rnacentral:lncRNA from 10 species
UGCUUCUUCUGACACCUGGCUCUUUUUUUUCCACACUGGAUUCUUGUCACAAUAAGGCUGUUCUGUGUCAUGACCCAGACUUUCCUGAGCAAACUCUUCACCAGCAAUCAUGGGCUGUGUCUACCCAGUGCUGUCAGCUCAAGACCGUGUCGCUAGGACCAAAGGGAACUUCUUAGAGAUCACAUGUCAGAACAGUGACCCUGAUACAAUGGUGAGUGAGUCCACUUCUUCACUUCUGCUGUGUUCAGGCACGGAGCAGAUAUUUUACCUUAAUGGCCUCCAUAUGGGAAGAAUAUGACCAAACGCUUUGUUGGAAGAACUAUCUCCAACCCUGGGGGACCAGAGUGAGAAGUUUUAGAUCAUACAUGGAAAGGCCUUGAAAGUUAUUACUUAUGUUUUUACACCAAGAAAAAGCUGAGCAAACUGAAACUUAAUGACUUUUCUUGGACUCAUCAUAAAACUAAGGUUGCAAGACAAACUAUGACUACAAAAUCCUGAGAGACCGGAAAACCCAGAGUCACAGCCAAGAGCUCAAUAGCCAAGAGGAAAAGCCACUGCAGCCAUAAACCAGUAGGGACAUUUAAACAGCAAUUUUGACAAAUACCUGAAGGCUGAGCAUGAGCUAACUUGAGAGUGAGAGAUUCCUGGGCAUGCAGUAUUAGGAAUAUCCCCACUUUUCUUGGGUUUUAUCUCCAGGAACCCGACUAGAGAGGAGAGAAAGAAUAAUCAUUGUGAAAUAUACCCAAAGUUUCUUUAUAACAAAGACCUACUAUCCAGGAGAAAUGACUUUACCAGAGUGCUAUCUUAGCUAGGGAAAGAGCUUUGCUCCCACUCCAACCCCCUCUAGCCUGCCUGUCUCAUCAGAGGGGGAGAAAUAAACCACACAACUAGAAAAACACUUCUGAACAUGAACAGCCUAAAGACACAUGCCCAAUAAUAGGCUGACAUUUAGCUAUAAUAGUAUAGAAUGCUUCAGUUCACUCACACCAACUGGGCUUCAGUGUGGUAGUAGCGGGUUACAGAUGUAGGAACUAAGAGCUGCAGACUUAGUGAGGAGGAACACAUAGGGAAACCCAAAAUCAAAAAGGAGUCAAACUCAAGGAAGCUGAAGGACUUUGACAUCUCUGUGUGGCAUACAUGUAAUUGAAUUAAUAGAAAUACGAAAAGAGACAAUGAAGCAGAAGAAAUAUUUGAAGAAAGAAGGGUCAAUAAGUUUCCAAAUACUAAUGACAGACAUCAAACUACAUAUACGGGAAGAUCGGAUAAAUACCAAGCAGGAUAAAUUCUAUAGAAAAGCUACACCAAGGGAUUCAAAGUGCAGAAAAACAAAGACACAGACAAAUUAUUUAAAGAAGCAAGGGGAGGAAAAUAACAACUUAUCUGUAAGAGACAAAAAUAAAAAUUAUCAUGGACUUCUUGUCAGAAACUAUGAAAGUGAGAACAAAGUGAAGGAAAACAUUUAAGUUACUGAAAAAAUAACUUCCCAGCCUAAAAUUCUAUAUUGAGAAGAAAAAUCAUUUAAAUAUGAAGGGAAAAUAAGGACUUUUUCCAGACAAAAAUUGAUGGAAUUUAUUGCCAGUAAAUCUACCUUACAAGAAAUGUUCAAAGAAGUUCUUUAAGGAGAAGGAAAGUAAUAUAGGUAAGAAACUCAGAUCUGCAUAUUAAAAUGUAUAGCAUUGGAGGAGAAAUAAAAAUAAAAUCUUUAUUUUUUUCUUAUUAUUUUUUACUAAUCUAAAAUAUAACUGCUAAAGUAAUCACAGUAACAAUGUACUGGGUAUUUACAACAUAUAUAUAGAUGAAAAUAAUUGCAAUAUAAGGAUGAAGAAGAAGAGUAGGAAAUAGUCUGUUGUAAUGUUACAACUGUACAUGGGAAGUUGCACUGUGUUAUUUGAAGAAUGUAGGUUACUUAAAUCUCUGGAGCAACUACUAAAUUUUUAAAGUAUAAUUGUAUAAUUGAUAUGCUAAGUAAUGAGGUAAAAUAAAAUUAUAUAAAGUAUUGAAAUAAAAAGCAGAGAAAGCAAGGAAAGAGGAAAGAAACAAACAAAAACCCAAAUGCAAUGCACAGAAUAAAGUUAUAAAUAUGACAUAUAUUAAUCCAUUUCUACCAAUAAUCAUUUAGAAUAGAUUUAAAAACAUUAACUAUAUGUUGUCUACAAAAACCCAUAUUAAAUAUAAUGAUUCAGGUAGUGUAAAAUAAAGGGAUGGUAAAUAUAUACCAUGCUAAGACUAAUCAAAAUAGCUGGAGUAGCUAUUUUAAUUUCAGACAAAAUAGACUUCAGAAUGAGGGAAUUUAGGCAUAAAGAGCAGCAUUACUUUAUGAUAAUGUAGUCUCUUCUCCAAGAAGACAAAACACAAUUUAAUGAGGACAUACCUAACAACUGGAUGUACUCUCUUGCAAGGUAUAUCAAAUAUGCAAGCCCAAACUUACAGAACUACAAGAUAAAGUAGGCAAAAUUACUAUUACAGUUAGAGACUUCAAUCUCCCACUUUUAGUAAUAGAUAAAUGGUCAAAAAAAUUAGUAUGAAAAUGGUUGACCUAAAAAGCAGUAUCAAUCAACCUGAUCUAAGAACAUUCACAAAAAAUCCAUCCAACAGCAUCAGAAUACGUAUUCUUCUCAUGCUCAUAUUCUGGGCCCUAAAGUACAUUUUAAGAAAUUUAAGAGAAUGGAAUACAAUACACCUUCUCUGAUUACAGGAAUUAAGCUAGAAAUCAGUAACAGAAAGAUAGCAAGAACACCCCUAAAUACUUUGAAUUUAUAAUUUAGCACAUGGAUAAAACAAGUCUCAAGAUAAAUUUUAAAAAUACAAUAUUUUGAAUUAAGUUAAAAUGAAAAUACAACUUACCAAAAUUUGCAGGAUGUAGCAAAAGCAGUGCUUAGAUGAAAAAUAUGGCAUUAAAUGCAUAUAUUAUAAAAGAGUAAAGAUUGAAAAUCAGUCAUUAAGCCUUCCUUUUUAGAAAAGUAGAGAAAUAAGAGAAAUUUAAGCAUAUAGCAAGAAGAAAAAAAUCAAAGCAGAAAUAAAUGAAAUUGAAAACAUGAAAACAAUACAGAAAAUCAAUGAAACAAAGUUGGUUAUUUGAAAAGAUCAAUAAAAUUGAUUAACCAAUAACCAGGCUUACUGAGAAAAAUGAGGAGAAAACCAAUUACCAGUAUUAGAGAUGAAUGAGAGAUCAUCAGUACUGAUUCCAUGAAAGGUGAAAGGAUAAUAAAAGAAAGAUAAAGAAGAACUACACCCACAAAUCUGAUAAAUUAGAUAAAAUGUAUCAAUUACUUAAAACAAAAACACUGAGAGAAAUAAAUAAUCUGAAAAGGCCUGUAUCUAUUAAAAAUUUAAUCAAUAACUUAAAACCUUCCCCCCAAAAAUGAACUAAUUGCAUAUGAUCUCACUGCUGAAUUCUAUCAAAUAUUUAAGAAACAAUUAAUUCAAACUUUAUCUAACAUCUUCCAGAAAAUAUAAGCAAAAAAGAAUAGUUCCUAGCUAGGCCAGCAUUACCCUAAUAUCAAAACCAGGUAAGAUAUUACAGGAAAAGAAAACUACAGACUAAUAUCUCUCUUGAACAUAUAUGCAAAAACCCACAACAAAAUAUUAGCAAACAGAAUCAAUAAAGUAUAAAAAUAAAUAUGUACCACAAAUAAAUGAGGUUUAUUCCAAGUAUGCAGGGCUGCACUGGCUUUUGAAAAUCAAGCAUUGUAAUCCACCACCCCAAUAGAGUAAAUAUGAAAAAUCAUAUGAUCAGAUCAAUUGAUGCAGAAAAAAUAUUUGACACAACCCAAUACCUCUUCUUGAUGAAAACUCCCAGCAAGCUAGGAUCAGAACAAGUUGAGGAGGAACUUCAUCAACUUGAUUAAGAAUAUCUACACAAAUCUAAUCUUAACCUGGUACUUAUGGGUAAGAAAAUGGAAGCUUUGCCCCUCUGAUUGUGAAUGAGACAAAGAUGUCCUCUCUUACCACUCUUAUUUAAUAAAACUAAAGAAAAGAAAAAAGAAAUAAAAGUUGUAUCUGUUGGA